rnacentral:rRNA from 1 species
AGUGAACGCUGGCGGCAGGCCUAACACAUGCAAGUCGAGCGGCAGCGCGGGGGCAACCCUGGCGGCGAGCGGCGGACGGGUGAGGAAUUCGUCGGAAUCUGCCUUUUUGUGGGGGAUAACGUAGGGAAACUUACGCUAAUACCGCAUACGUCCUACGGGAGAAAGUGGGGGACCGCAAGGCCUCACGCAGAAAGAUGAGCCGACGACCGAUUAGCUAGUUGGUGGGGUAAAGGCCCACCAAGGCGACGAUCGGUAGCUGGUCUGAGGGGAUGAUCAGCCACACUGGGACUGAGACACGGCCCAGACUCCUACGGGAGGCAGCAGUGGGGAAUAUUGGACCAUGGGCGCAAGCCUGAUCCAGCCAUGCCGCGUGUGUGAAGAAGGCCUUCGGGUUGUAAAGCACUUUUGUCCGGAAAGAAAUCCCUGGAGCUAAUACCUUCGGGGGAUGACGGUACCGGAAGAAUAAGCACCGGCUAACUUCGUG